GUCUACGGCCAUGCUACCCUGAACAAGCUCAAUCUUGCCUGAUCUUGGAAGCUAAGCAGGAUUGGGCCUGGUUAGUACUUGGAUGGGAGACCACCUAGGAAGACCAGGUACUGUAGGUA
rnacentral:rRNA from 1 species